rnacentral:rRNA from 1 species
UACGGAGGAUGCGAGCGUUAUCUGGAUUUAUUGGGUUUAAAGGGUGCGUAGGCGGUCCGUUAAGUCAGCGGUAAAAUUGCGGGGCCCAACCCCGUCGAGCCGUUGAAACUGGCAGACUUGAGUUGGCGAGAAGUACGCGGAAUGCGCGGUGUAGCGGUGAAAUGCAUAGAUAUCGCGCAGAACUCCGAUUGCGAAGGCAGCGUACCGGCGCCAGACUGACGCUGAGGCACGAAAGCGUGGGGAUCGAACAGG